rnacentral:lncRNA from 1 species
GAUAGUGUUGAGCCUUUUUAUAUGAUCUUAAUUCUCAUAGUAGAGAGAUGUAAGUUUGGAGUCGCAAUAUUGAUAGGCUAUGUCGGAAGUAGUAUGAUUCAUUGAAGGCUUGGUGAUAUCCAUGUUGAGUGCUAGAUUCUAAGUUUGAGUUUUUGAAGGUUGAACUAAUAGAAAUAAGAGUUAAAGCACUAGAGGGUGUGCACUCCGACUAUGGGGAUACUCAUGAAGACCCGAAGUUAGUAAGUGUUCAAGUAUUAUAUGAUGACUGCUGGGUCUAUAGAAUGAUAAAGUGUAUCUCAGAAGGUAGUAUUAACAGUGGGUUUUCCACUUUCAGGUGUAGUCAUUCGGGUUAAGUGCCAUGAUAUGCAUGUAUAGUAGUUUUUCAGACCCCAAAGUGCAGUGAGU